UACGUAGGGUGCGAGCGUUGUCCGGAAUUAUUGGGCGUAAAGGGUGCGUAGGCGGGUCUUUAAGUCAGGGGUGAAAUCCUGGAGCUCAACUCCAGAACUGCCUUUGAUACUGAAGAUCUUGAGUUCGGGAGAGGUGAGUGGAACUGCGAGUGUAGAGGUGAAAUUCGUAGAUAUUCGCAAGAACACCAGUGGCGAAGGCGGCUCACUGGCCCGAUACUGACGCUGAGGCACGAAAGCGUGGGGAGCAAACAGGG
rnacentral:rRNA from 1 species